UGACUUCUUAAUAACGUACAAUAUCUCUUGUUUAUUCUCAAAAGGAAGCAUCCUCUAUACAUACAUAUAUAUUUCUCAAAAUAAUCAUUAAUAUAUAGAACACUACUUGGGAGUACGUACAUUGUAGGAAUUUUGGGCAGGGCAUAAGGUUAUUUAAUUUAACAGGAUAAACGUUCGUGUGACCUUGAGAUAUGAAAGGAUACAACUUGUUCUUGUUAAUGUUUUUGACAACUCAUGGUGAUUCUUGGAUGAUACUACUAAGAAAUUUCACAAAGUUAUCAAAGCAACCUCACUCAAGGACCAAAAUUAAUUAAUGUACAAACAGUAUAGUCAGCUUGAAUGUAGUAAUAAUUUAUGUACGUGACAAUAGUUUAAAAAAUAGUACUAUUGUUAAAGACAUUGAUGUUGUGAAUUUGAAGGAAAUAUGAAGUGAAUCCCAGCUAGCAUAGUUAUUAGUACAGCUGCCCGUGUGAGUUUUGGAAUUUGAAAGCAUAUCGCAUGUUGUGGCGCUUUAUUCUAUCCAUGUACAAUCUGUGUGCUUACUCAAAUUCAAUUCCAUUAUUUAAGAAUGCAUAUUUGCAUGACAUGUUAUAAUAGUACUUUACUUUUAGUAAUAAUUACUUACUACUAGAAGAUCGAAAGUGGAUAGUAUAGUAGGAGUAAUCUUU
rnacentral:lncRNA from 1 species